rnacentral:misc_RNA from 1 species
GAUGAAGAACGUAGCGAAAUGCGAUAAGUAAUGUGAAUUGCAGAAUUCAGUGAAUCAUCGAAUCUUUGAACGCACAUUGCGCCCCUUGGUAUUCCAUGGGGCAUGCCUGUUCGAGCGUCAUUUGUACCUUCAAGCUCUGCUUGGUGUUGGGUGUUUGUCUCGCCUCUGCGUGUAGACUCGCCUCAAAACAAUUGGCAGCCGGCGUAUUGAUUUCGGAGCGCAGUACAUCUCGCGCUUUGCACUCAUAACGACGACGUCCAAAAGUACAUUUUUAUACUCUUGACCUCGGAUCAGGUAGGGAUACCCGCUGAACUUAAGCAUAUCAAUAAGCGGAGGA